rnacentral:rRNA from 1 species
GAUGAACGCUAGCGGCAGGCCUAACACAUGCAAGUCGAGGGGCAGCAUAAAACAAGCUUGCUUGUUUGGUGGCGACCGGCGCACGGGUGCGUAACGCGUAUGCAACCUACCUUAUACUGGGGUAUAGCCCGGAGAAAUUCGGAUUAAUCCCCCAUAGUAUUAUAUAAUGGCAUCAUUUAAUAAUUAAAGUACCAACGGUAUAAGAUGGGCAUGCGUCCUAUUAGCUAGAUGGUGAGGUAACGGCUCACCAUGGCAACGAUAGGUAGGGGGCCUGAGAGGGUAGUCCCCCACACUGGUACUGAGACACGGACCAGACUCCUACGGGAGGCAGCAGUGAGGAAUAUUGGUCAAUGGGCGCAAGCCUGAACCAGCCAUGCCGCGUGCAGGACUAAGGCCCUAUGGGUCGUAAACUGCUUUUGAAUGGGAAGAAAUGUAUCUACGUGUAGAUAUUUGACGGUACCAUUAGAAUAAGGAUCGGCUAACUUCGUGCCAGCAG